ensembl:lncRNA
CCAUUCCCAAAAGGCUCAGAGGAAUGAGCAGAAAAGGUACAGCUUUCUUUGGGACCGGCUCAGGAUUAGCAAAAGUCAGGAAUCUCACCAGAAAGUCACUGCACUACAAGACAUCAAGCCUGAACAGGGACUUGAACCCUGGACCCUUAGAUUAAAAGUCUGAGGCUCUACCAACUGAGGUUUGACCUUGAUUGAAAGGUAAUCUUUUAAAACAAUACUUGUUAAAGGAAUAUAUAAGACGACUGGGGAGAAACCCAAUUCCAAAAAUGCUCAGAGGAACAAGCUGAAAAGGUACAGCUUUUUUUUGGAACCAACUCAGGAUUAGCAAGAAUCAGGAACCUAACCAGAAAGUGACUGCACUACAAGACAUCAAGCCUGAACAGGGACUUGAGCCCUGGACUCUCAGAUUAAAAGUCUGAUGCUGUACCGACUGAGCUAUCCAGGCUUCAAAAGCUCUGUUGAUUAUUGCGAAUGUGACUCUGGCAGAGGAACAAUCUCAAUGUGUUCGUCCAAUUCCAAAAAGGCUCAGAGGAACAAGCAGAAAAGGUACAUCUUUUUUUGGAACCGGUUCAGGAUUAGCAAGAGUCAGGCAUCUUACCAGAAAGUCACUCCACUACAAAACUUCAAGCCUGAAUAGGGACUUGAAACCUGGACCCUUAGAUUAAAAGUCUGAGGCUCUACCAACUGAGGUUUGACCUUGAUUGAAAGGUAUUCUUGUAAAAUAAUACUUGUUAAAGGAAUAUAUGAGACGACUGAGGAGAAACCCAAUUCCAAGAAGGCUCAGAGGAACAAGCUGAAAAGGUACAUCUAUUUUUGGAACCAGCUCAGGAUUAGCAAGAGUCAGGCAUUUUACCAGAAAGUCACUCCACUACAAAACUUCAAGCCUGAAUAGGGACUUGAACCCUGGACCCUCAGAUUAAAAGUCUGAGGCUCUACCAACUGAGGUUUGACCUUGAUUGAAAGGUAAUCUUGUAAAACAAUACUUGUUAAACGAAUAUAUAAGACGACUGAGGAGAAACCCAAUUCCAAAAAGGCUCAGAGGAACAAGAUGAAAAGGUACAUCUUUUUUUGGAACCGGCUCAGGAUUAGCAAGAGUCAGGAAUCACUGCACUACAAGACAUCAAGCCUGAACAGGGACUUGAACCCUGGACCCUUAGAUUAAAAGUCUGAGGCUCUACCAACUGAGGUUUGACCUUGAUUGAAAGGUAAUCUUGUAAAACAAUACUUGUUAAACGAAUAUAUAAGACGACUGAGGAGAAACCCAAUUCCAAAAAGGCUCAGAGGAACAAGCAGAAAAGGUACAUCUUUUUUUGGAACCGGCUCAGGAUUAGCAAGAGUCAGGAACCUAACCAGAAAGUGAUUGCACUACAAGACAUCAAGCCUGAACAGGGACUUGAACCCUGGACCCUCAGAUUAAAAGUCUGAUGCUCUACCGACUGAGCUAUCCAGGCUUCAAAAGCUCUUUUGAUUAUUGCAAAUGUGACUCUGGCAGAGGAACAAACUAAAUGUGUUCGUCCAAUUCCAAAAAGGCUCAGAGGAAUGAGCAGAAAAGGUACAGCUUUCUUUGGAACCGGCUCAGGAUUAGCAAGAGUCAGGAAUCACUGCACUACAAGACAUUAAGUCUGAACAGGGACUUGAACCCUGGACCCUUAGAUUAAAAGUCUGAUGCUCUACCAACUGAG